rnacentral:rRNA from 1 species
GAUGAACGCUCGCUACAGGCUUAACACAUGCAAGUCGAGGGGCAGCGGGAUUGAAGCUUGCUUCAAUUGCCGGCGACCGGCGCACGGGUGAGUAACGCGUAUCCAACCUUCCGUACACUCAGGGAUAGCCUUUCGAAAGAAAGAUUAAUACCUGAUGGUAUGAUGAGAUUGCAUGAUAUCAUCAUUAAAGAUUUAUCGGUGUACGAUGGGGAUGCGUUCCAUUAGGUAGUAGGCGGGGUAACGGCCCACCUAGCCAACGAUGAUAGAGGUUCUGAGAGGAAGGUCCCCCACAUUGGAACUGAGACACGGCCCAAACGCCUACGGGAGGCAGCAGUGAGGAAUAGUGGUCAAUGGACGAGAGUCUGAACCAGCCAAGUAGCGUGAAGGAGGAAGGUCCUACGGAUUGUAAACUUCUUUUAUAAGGGAAUAAACCCUCCCACGUGUGGGAGCUUGUAUGUACCUUAUGAAUAAGCAUCGGCUAACUCCGUG